rnacentral:rRNA from 1 species
CUGUUUAACAAAAACAUUUCUAUUAAAAUAACUAAUAGUAAAAUCUGCUCAAUGAAAUUUAAAUAGCCGCAAUUAGUGCUAAGGUAGUGUAAUAAUUUGUCUUUCAAUUAAAGACCAAUCAAAAGAUUUAACAUUUUAAUUCAUUUAAAAAUUUAAAUAUUUAAACUAUUUUAAUAAUAAAAAAAUUAUUCUUUAAAAAAAAGACGACAAGACCCUACUGAACUUUACUUUAGUUUAACUGGGGCAGUUGAUUAAAUUUAAUCUUAAUUUCAAUCUAAAUUUAUAAGACCUAAUAUAAUUAAUUAUAAAAUCAAGUUACCAUAGGGAUAACAGUAUAAUAGUUUUUAAAAGUUCUUAUUACAAAAACUGAUUAUAACCUCGAUGUUGAAUUAAUUUUCUAUUUAAUGCAAUAAUACAAAAAGAAAGUCUGUUCGACUUUUAAAUAAUUACAUGAUUUGA